rnacentral:rRNA from 1 species
GAUGAACGCUGGCGGCGUGCCUAAUACAUGCAAGUCGAGCGAACAGAUAAGGAGCUUGCUCCUUUGACGUUAGCGGCGGACGGGUGAGUAACACGUGGGUAACCUACCUAUAAGACUGGAAUAACUCCGGGAAACCGGGGCUAAUGCCGGAUAACAUGUUGAACCGCAUGGUUCUACAGUGAAAGGCGGCUUUGCUGUCACUUAUAGAUGGACCCGCGCCGUAUUAGCUAGUUGGUGAGGUAACGGCUCACCAAGGCAACGAUACGUAGCCGACCUGAGAGGGGGAUCGGCCACACUGGAACUGAGACGCGGUACAGACUCCUACGGGAGGCAGCAGUAGGGAAUCUUCCGCAAUGGGCGAAAGCCUGACGGAGCAACGCAGCGUGAGUGAUGAAGGUCUUCGGAUCGUAAAACGCUGUUAUUAGGGAAGAACAAAUGCGUAAGUAACUGUGCGCGUCUUGACGGUACCUAAUCAGAAAGCCACGGCUAACUACGU